UUCAGCAGUACAUGUCCUGAAAUGUACAUGUCCUGAAGUGACGCAGAGAAGAUUGGCGCAGUCCCUGUGCAAGGAUGACAUGCACAUUUGUCAAGUGUUCCAUAUUGAA